UACAGAGGGUGCGAGCGUUAAUCGGAAUGACUGGGCGUAAAGCGCGCGUAGGCGGUUAUACAAGUUGGGUGUGAAAUCCCUGGGCUUAACCUAGGAAUUGCAUUCAAAACUAUAUGACUUGAGUGGAGUAGAGGCAAGUGGAAUUUCCGGAGUAGCGGUGAAAUGCGUAGAUACCGGAAGGAACACCAGUGGCGAAGGCGACUUGCUGGGCUUUAACUGACGCUGAGGUGCGAAAGCGUGGGGAGCAAACAGG
rnacentral:rRNA from 1 species